UACAGAGGUCCCAAGCGUUGUUCGGAUUCACUGGGCGUAAAGGGUGCGUAGGCGGUCGGGUAAGUCUGAUGUGAAAUCUCACAGCUUAACUGUGAAACUGCAUUGGAUACUAUCCGGCUUGAGGAAUGGAGGGGAGACUGGAAUACUUGGUGUAGCAGUGAAAUGCGUAGAUAUCAAGUGGAACACCAGUGGCGAAGGCGAGUCUCUGGGCAUUUCCUGACGCUGAGGCACGAAAGCCAGGGGAGCAAACGGG
rnacentral:rRNA from 1 species